AUUGAACGCUGGCGGCAUGCUUUACACAUGCAAGUCGAACGGCAACGAGGAGAAGCUUGCUUCUCUGUCGGCGAGUGGCGAACGGGUGAGUAUAGCAUCGGAACGUGCCAAGUAGUGGGGGAUAACCAAACGAAAGUUUGGCUAAUACCGCGUAAGCUCCAAGGAGGAAAGUAGGGGACCUAAAUAAGGCCUUACGCUAUUUGAUCGGCCGAUGUCGGAUUAGCUAGUUGGUGGGGUAAUGGCUCACCAAGGCAAUGAUCCGUAGCGGGUCUGAGAGGACGAUCCGCCACACUGGGACUGAGACACGGCCCAGACUCCUACGGGAGGCAGCAGUGGGGAAUUUUGGACAAGGGGGGAAACCCUGAUCCAGCCAUGCCGCGUGUAUGAAGAAGGCCUUAGGGUUGUAAAGUACUUUUGUUAGGGAAGAAAAGCUAGUUUUUAAUAAAAAUUAGUGAUGACGGUACCUAAAGAAUAAGCACCGGCUAACUACGUG
rnacentral:rRNA from 1 species